UACAGAGGGGGCAAGCGUUGUUCGGAAUUACUGGGCGUAAAGGGCGCGUAGGCGGCCUUCUAAGUCGAACGUGAAAUCCCCGGGCUCAACCCGGGAACUGCGUCCGAUACUGGAAGGCUUGAAUCCGGGAGAGGGAUGCGGAAUUCCAGGUGUAGCGGUGGAAUGCGCAGAUAUCAGGAAGAACACCAACGGCGAAGGCAGCUCGCUGGGACGGAACUGACGCUGAGGCGCGAAAGCGUGGGGAGCGAACAGG
rnacentral:rRNA from 1 species